rnacentral:rRNA from 1 species
ACCAGACUCCUACGGGAGGCAGCAGUGAGGAAUAUUGGUCAAUGGCCGGAAGGCUGAACCAGCCAAGCCGCGUGAGGGAGGAAGGCGCAGAGCGUCGCAGACCUCUUUUGCCGGGGGACAAAAGGCCGGACUCGUCCGGUCCUGAGGGUACCCGGAGAAAAAGCAUCGGCUAACUCCGUGCCAGCAGCCGCGGUAAUACGGAGGAUGCGAGCGUUAUCCGGAUUCAUUGGGUUUAAAGGGUGCGCAGGCGGGGCCUUUAGGCGGGGGGGAAAUCCGGGGGGCCCACCCCCGCCGAGCCGUCGGAACUGGGGGCCUUGAGUGCGGCGGAGGCAUGCGGAAUGCGCGGUGUAGCGGUGAAAUGCAUAGAUAUCGCGCAGAACCCCGAUUGCGAAGGCAGCAUGCCGGCUCCACACUGACGCUGAGGCACGAAAGCGUGGGUAUCGAACAGGAUUAGAUACCCGAGUA